UACGGAGGGAGCUAGCGUUGUUCGGAAUUACUGGGCGUAAAGCGCGCGUAGGCGGCUUUGUAAGUUAGAGGUGAAAGCCUGGAGCUCAACUUCAGAAUUGCCUUUAAGACUGCAUCGCUUGAAUCCGGGAGAGGUGAGUGGAAUUCCGAGUGUAGUGGUGAAAUUCGUAGAUAUCGGGAGGAACACCAGUGGCGAAGGCGGCGACCUGGGCCAAUACUGACGCUGAGGUGCGAAAGCGUGGGGAGCAAACAGG
rnacentral:rRNA from 1 species